rnacentral:misc_RNA from 1 species
GCAGCGUUUUAUUUAUUGUUAUACCAUAUAUACAUGCAUGAUAUCAUAAGUUGUUCAGAAAACAAAAGUGGUGAUCUUAUUUGUCUAUUUUCAUGUAACUUGCUGCAAAAAUUUGGUUCUCAGAUUUUUACUUUUUUUUUUUCUUUUUUUUUUUAAGAUCUGUUGAUCAGAAAUUUAGAAAAUUAAGUAUGCAUGUAAAUGUAUUUAUAGUUUAUUGUUUUAAACAAAAUCAUUACUAUAUACUUAUAUAUAGGUAUUUAGAUUUUUGAAAUUGCAAGCAAUACUGGUAUUGUAGGUUGGCUAUUUUGACAUAUUUAUAACUUUUUUGAGCUGCAUUAGGUGUGGUUACUUUAACUAUAGUGCUUAGUCUACAUUAUUUACAGUCACUUUUUACCAGCAGAACAGGCUGCGAACAUUUUUACAGAAAUGAAUGAAUGGAAUGAUGGCAUGGUCUUUGUUGUGUCUGUAGAUCUGUAUAUCAUUGUAUCACUUCCUGUAAGAAGUCAAUAUUUAUCAUUAUUUGUCAAUAAAGAUCUGAGACUGU